rnacentral:lncRNA from 1 species
AAUUUGGAUAACCUCACUAAUAGUUAUGAUUUUUCGAUCAACUGUGGCUGCAAACAUCUUUAGUCUUUUCUUCAAAGGAAAUUGGUUUGUUCGGGUAUACAUUGCUGUUAGUACUGAAAUUUGAUGCAUGGAAUUCAUUUAUUGGUGAUGAAAUGCAGUAGGGUUAUAUUAGGUUAAUGUCAGUACCUUUGCAUUAAGUUUAAAGUUAGACUUCGAGAAGUCGUUCGUUCAGUCGAUGGGUAAAAGCUCGGGCUAUACAUAUCAAGUAGAAAUGGAUAUGAAAUGAUUAUGUUUCCAUUCAAUAUCUUAUUAAGUGAUAAAUAUUUGUAUAGGUGUUGAGCGUAGUAAAGCUCUCACUCACUCAAGGCUUGAGCAUGACUCGAGAGUAAGGUGUUUUUAUAGCACUUGCAUUGGACUUCAGGUGAGGAUCUCUAUUUAUUCACUAUUAUUUCUUUGAAAAACAAAAUGCACACUGAGAAUAAGAUAUCCGUUAUUGCUUCUUGAUCACUUAAAUGUGAUAUAUCUUACUUGUUGCCUAUCGUAUUAUAUUUUGAUUCUUGAAUUGUGAAAAUAAUGAUUUAUUCGGAAUCCUCUUGAUGGUUCGUAUCUUCUUCCUCGAACUAUUCAAAUAAGUUCUCACCUUGAUUCCUCCAAAUUAUUCUAAUAAUUUCUUAUCCUAAUUCUUUGACUACUCAAUCGAGUCCUUUUAUCGAGUCUUGAAUAAUUUGGAGUUUCAGUCCGAUUCUCAAUCAAUUGUGAAUCGUUUCACAUAUUAACUUGUAUACUAGUUGGAACCACUUCUAUUAUGAUUCAUUAAAUCAUUUGAUUUGUUUCUACAGUGGUUCAAUAAACGUAAAUCGUUCUUUUCCCCACUCUUGGACCAUUUAGGAUUAUUCUAUUUAUCCAUUAAAUCACUCGUUUCGUACCUACUGAGAAUUGAUGGAUCGUUCAUAUCUUGACUUCUCAUUGAUCCUUUGAAACCACUUAUCUUUAGAGCUAUACAACUACGGAUUCAAUUUUAACCGUAGACUAUUGUUGAUUGAGAUACAUCUUCAUCAAUUGUUAUACGAUCCUGAAUUGUGGUCACUCUUAUACUGAAACCGAUCGUACCUUUCUUGACUUGUGAUUUCGUGACCACAAAUUAUUAUCACUUGUUAUUGGAAUCCCAAAACUAUUGAACUAUGAAAUUGAUUCUUUCCAAAGUGGAAUUCAUUAUUGGGAUUCAAAUUGUAAAUUGAGAUAGUCGGAAGCAUAUCCGAUAUCUAUAUAUGAUUGAUUCCUUUGGGGACGCCCUAAGGAUAAUUGACCAGUUGGGCCCGGGGCUGGCUAUUCGAAAAAGACUGCCUGGCGGUAUUGGGCCGACGGUGGAUGGUCUCUUCGACAGUACCCAUAUUGGAUUCAGACCAUUGGCAUAGUUGGAGAUUAACUGUGCUGAUGGCUGAAUCGGCAUGCGCCCGGGCAUGCCUAUUGAUCAAUUAGCAGGGUAGCUCCCUGAUCGGGGUUAUAAGGUAGUAACGACUAAGGGAGUCACAAGGCAGGUACAGGUACAUGAACAAAUUGUUACCAUGGGAAUCUCCAUGGUCUCAUAUUUGAUAUCCGAAAUUGUUAUCGUGGGAAUCACCACGAAAUUCAUAAUUGAUAUCCGGAAAUUACCCGUUGAGUAUUGUUCUUUACCUGUAUAUAUUGAUUCUAUUGUUUAUUCUGAUCAUAUUGAUGUGCCUUAUACUUUGGCCUCUUAUUCCUUAUCGAACGAUCAUUCUCUAGAUGGUCCAAUUCCAACUUCAAUUCCUUGAACACUUAUAUUGUGAUUAUUAUUUGAUUCGACUGUUUUUCCCUUGUACUCCUCACUAAGUCCACUUGGACUUACUCCUCCUUUAUUUUCCUUCUUAUUCUCAGUAACAGGUGCAUUAGUGGACGAUAUUGUUGAUGGCUCUUAGGAGUAGAAGUUAUUCA